rnacentral:rRNA from 1 species
AACGAACGCUGGCGGCAUGCCUAACACAUGCAAGUCGAACGAGACCUUCGGGUCUAGUGGCGCACGGGUGCGUAACGCGUGGGAACCUGCCCUUAGGUUCGGAAUAACUCCCCGAAAGGGGUGCUAAUACCGGAUAAUGUCUUCGGACCAAAGAUUUAUCGCCUUUGGAUGGGCCCGCGUUGGAUUAGCUAGUUGGUAGGGUAAAAGCCUACCAAGGCGACGAUCCAUAGCUGGUCUGAGAGGAUGAUCAGCCACACUGGGACUGAGACACGGCCCAGACUCCUACGGGAGGCAGCAGUGGGGAAUAGUGGACAAUGGGCGAAAGCCUGAGCCAGCAAUGCCGCGUGAGUGAUGAAGGCCUUAGGGUUGUAAAGCUCUUUUACCCGGGAUGAUAAUGACAGUACCGGGAGAAUAAGCUCCGGCUAACUCCG